GACGAACGCUGGCGGCGUGCUUAACACAUGCAAGUCGAACGAUGAAGCCGGAGCUUGCUCUGGUGAAUUAGUGGCGAACGGGUGAGUAACACGUGAGUAACCUGCCCUUGACUCUGGGAUAACUGCGGGAAACUGUAGCUAAUACCGGAUACGACCCUCGGAGGCAUCUCCUGGGGGUGGAAAGAAUUUCGGUCAAGGAUGGACUCGCGGCCUAUCAGCUAGGUGGUGAGGUAAAGGCUCACCAAGGCGACGACGGGUAGCCGGCCUGAGAGGGUGACCGUCCACACUGGGACUGAGACACGGCCCAGACUCCUACGGGAGGCAGCAGUGGGGAAUAUUGCACAAUGGGCGCAAGCCUGAUGCAGCAACGCCGCGUGAGGGAUGACGGCCUUCGGGUUGUAAACCUCUUUUAGCAGGGAAGAAGCGAAAGUGACGGUACCUGCAGAAAAAGCACCGGCUAACUACGUGCCAGCAGCCGCAGUAA
rnacentral:rRNA from 1 species